rnacentral:rRNA from 1 species
CCUACGGGAGGCAGCAGUGGGGAAUAUUGGGCAAUGGGCGCAAGCCUGACCCAGCAACGCCGCGUGAAGGAAGAAGGCUUUCGGGUUGUAAACCUCUUUUGCCGGGGAGCAACGGGCGCCACGUGUGGCGCCACUGAGAGUACCCGGAGAAACAGCAUCGGCAAACUCCGUGCCAGCAGCCGCGGUAAUACGGAGGAUGCGAGCGUUAUCCGGAUUUAUUGGGUUUAAAGGGUGCGUAGGCGGAUUUUUAAGUCAGCGGUAAAAUGUCCGGGCUCAACCCGGGCCGGCCGUUGAAACUGGGGAUCUUGAGUGGGCGAGAGGUAUGCGGAAUGCGUGGUGUAGCGGUGAAAUGCAUAGAUAUCACGCAGAACUCCGAUUGCGAAGGCAGCAUACCGGCGCCUGACUGACGCUGAGGCACGAAAGCGUGGGGAUCGAACAGGAUUAGAUACCCGUGUAGUC